GAAAGAACGAUGAUCAGAAUAGUAAGUGAAGAGAUUUGUAUGAGAGAGUUUCCGGUUGCUGAGAGGAAAUAACGAAUCGUCAUUGAACACGCCUGUAAGUUGUUUUUCUGAAAUAUUGAUAGUAGGAAAAAUCGGAGAGUCCGUUAUCACUCCUUAGUUUGUAUGACUAACAGAGGUUUUUGCUGUGAAGUAAAAACAAAUCUGAGGUGGGACCACGUGAAAAAUUUCUCGUCCUCUUG
rnacentral:ncRNA from 1 species